rnacentral:rRNA from 1 species
AAUGAUGAAUGUCAUAGAUUAGACAUCUAGGUUUAUUCUAUAAAUGAAAGUGUAAGCAUUCCACCUCAAGAGUAAUUUGGCAACAUUGGAACUGAAAUCAUUAGACCGUUUCUGAAACCAGUAGUGAAGUAUGUUGUUUAAUUUGAUGAUCCGCAAAAAACCUUACCACAACUUGAAUAUUUAUAUCUAUCUCUUUUCAUUAAUCUAUUUUUAUCUUUUUUUUAAGAAAAAAGAUAGAAACUUUUAAAGAAAAGACUAAUGAUAUCUUUACAAGCGUUGCACGGCUGUCUUCAGUUAAUGUCGCGAGACUUUGGUUAGUUCCAUUAAAUUAACGCAAACCCUUACUUUAUUUUUACAUAAAGUAGUUCCCCACUAUAUUGGAUAAGAUAACAGGGACUAAGACAAGUCAUCAUGGCCUUAAUGUUGU